GAUGUACGCUAGCGGCAGGCCUAACACAUGCAAGUCGAGGGAGGAGCCUUCGGGCUUCGACCGGCGUACGGGUGCGUAACGCGUAUACAAUCUGCCUUUCACAUAGGGAUAGCCCGAAGAAAUUUGGAUUAAUACCUAAUGGUAUAUAGAUGUGGCAUCACCUUUAUAUUAAAGCUGAGGCGGUGAAAGAUGAGUAUGCGUUCUAUUAGCUAGUUGGAGAGGUAACGGCUCCCCAAGGCGACGAUAGAUAGGGGUUCUGAGAGGGAUAUCCCCCACACUGGUACUGAGAUACGGACCAGACUCCUACGGGAGGCAGCAGUGAGGAAUAUUGGACAAUGGUCGGAAGACUGAUCCAGCCAUGCCGCGUGCAGGAAGACGGCCUUAUGGGUUGUAAACUGCUUUUGCAGGGGAAGAAUAAGGACUACGCGUAGUUUGAUGACGGUACUCUGCGAAUAAGCAUCGGCUAACUCCGCG
rnacentral:rRNA from 1 species